rnacentral:tRNA from 1 species
GGAGAUGUACCUCAGAGGGAAAGCACUUGCUUUGCAUCUAAGAGGCCCUGGGUUCAACCCCCAGCGUCUCCA